UCUUCUUUUGCCUCUUUUACUUCCAGGAAUUGGUUUUCUAUGUUAUCUUCUCUAUUUUUUUUUAAUGCCUUCUGAUCAGUUAAAGAAUUUUAGCUUUUGUUCUGUUGAGAUUCUCCAUAUAUGAGGAAUAGUUUUUUUUCCCAGUCAUGAGAAAAGCUUGUUUCCAGACAAAUGAAUAUCUCUCAUACUACUCCUUCUGACUAGAUAUUCACCAAAAACUAUUUUCCUUUUCAAUUUUGUUCUUUUGUUUCUGAUUUCAAUUAAAUAAAAGUAGGGAUUGGAAUCAACCCUAGAGAGUAGACAAAUCACCAUCAUAAUUCAACCAUCUUCAUCUCCAUAUCUCACUCUUAAUCAAUUCCAUUAUAUCCUAUAUUUAUCCAAAAAAAAAAAAAUCUAAAUUCCUGUACCCCCCACCCCACCCCCACCCCCACCCCAUAUUGACUUAACCCAUAUAUUGAAAUCAAGAAAUAGUUGGAGUGUUUGUGUGUGUUGGUAAAUGGGUUCUGAAACAUAUGUGAUAUUAGGGGUAGAUGGAGGAACCACCUCAACUGUGUGUGUUUGUAUGCCACUUAUGCAUAACAUUCCCGAUAUUCCAAUUUUAAUAGUGUUGGAGGACUAUAAUAAUUUCUCGUUGUUGGAUGCACAAAGCUGAAGAAGUAAGAAAGGCAUUCUAGAUAAGGAGUCAGCACUGUACAUGUUCAACUUCAGAUGCAUUUGAUGAGCAGCCACAAUCAAAUUAUGUCCCACUAAAAAAGUUCCAAACUAUAAAUUUGGCUCUGCAAAGAGAUUUGAGUAUGAACCACCUGCGUUUUGUUGUGCCAACGGUACUGUCAAUCUAUCUUCACAUAAGAUUCCAACAAAAUUACGGAAUCUAUAUUUUGGAGAUGAUGAACAAUCCACACACUUCCAUACAUACAUAAGAACAUAUAAUAACCUAUUCGCAUUUACAUCACUUGGUGCAAAGUAUGAUAAAGAUUUGGCUAAAAGAAAUUGUGGUGUAUAUACCUUUAAGUUCAAGGACAAAUGUAUCAUUUGAUAAAUGAUUUUUAUCCACGAGAUGGAAAACCAAAAAAUCUACAAUUGUACUUCUACGAUAAUAGUAACGAGAUAGCAUAUAGGAUGGCUUGUUCCAACAAAGUUCAUGAAUCAGUAGUGAAGGAACUGAUGGACAUAUUAUCAAAUAAUCCAUAUUCUAUCUUUCUUCGAUCUUUGGUAAAUAUUUCAAACCUUGAAGACUUUCAUAUCGUUCUUAGAUGUGAUGCGGGUUUAGACCAACGAGUAUAUAACCUGCCUACCUCCUCUGAAGUUGCAACAAUAUGGGUUGAGGAAAAUGAUGGUAGUGCUAUUCAGGCACCUCACAUUCAAAUCUAUACUCACAACAAUUGUACAAAAAGAGUAAAUUAUUAUUACGGAUGUUAUGAUGUUUUAGAAUAUUCGUUAUUGUUUCCACACGGUCAAAGUGGAUGGCAUUGUGGUAUUAAGAAAAUUUAUGGGAUAAAGAACAUUUGUAGACAUCCUAGAACUUAUGAAAAUGAAGAGAUACCAAACAUACGAAACGUUUACUCUCUUGAUGGGUAUCUUGAAAUGGAGGAUGAUAUUCUGAACAAGGGAAAGCGGAAACGGAAUACGGUGUCCGUUCAUGAAUAUUAUUGUUACAAACGGCAAAUGAGAUAUGAUAAAGAAGAUGAAAUCUUACACACUAGAAGAAUAUUUCAGCAAUAUUCGGUCGACGAAUAUAUAAAACUUGAAACACAAAGGUUGGAUUUUUAUUCAUUUAAUCAGGAUUUAUUCAUAACGGAUGUACUGCAAGGACUCAUUGAUAUUUUGAGAUUGGGUGAGAGAGAUGCUUCAAAUAUAGGUAAGAGAAGAUUUCUCUCGAAUUCUUUUAUUGGUGGCCCUAGAGAUAUGCGUUAACGCUACAUGGAUGCUAUUUCAUUAGUCCAGCGUUUUGGUAAACCUGAUUUAUUUAUAAUCAUGAUGUGUAAUCCAUCUUGGACAGAAAUAAAGGAACAUUUAGCAUCUAUUGAUGAAGCACAAAAUAGACCUGAUCUAAUUAACACAGUGUUUAGAGCAAAAAUAGAAGAACUAAAAACGAAUAUCCUAAAACGAAAUAUUUUUGGAAAAGUUGCAGCUUUUAUGUAUACUGUAGAAUUUCAAAAAUGAGGUUUACUACAUUCUCAUUUCCUUCUAAUACUAACUGCUGAAUACAAGUUCUUAACACCGGAAUCUUAUGAUAAUAUUAUUAGUUUUGAAUUACCUGAUCAAGAUGCAGAACCAUAUUUAUAUUCAUGCGUUCUUAAACACAUGAUGCAUGGUCCUUGUGGUAAUCUUAACCCAACAAAUCCUUGCAUGAAGAAGAUGGAUUGUUGUAAGUUUAAUUAUCUAAUAAGCUUCGCGGAUCAUACCUCAAAAGGAGCUGAUUCUUAUCCAAUUUAUAGAAGACGAAAUACAAGAGUAACAGUAAAGAUAAGAGAGCACUACUUGGACAAUUCGUGGGUUGUUCCAUACAACCCAUUUUUGCUUGGAAAAUAAAAUUUAAUUGUCAUAUGAAAUGUUGAAGUAUGCUCUGACAUUAAAUUCGUGAAGUAUCUAUAUAAAUAUAUUUGUAAAGGACAUGAUAAAAUUGUAUUUUUUGUACAUGCUAAUGAGAAAAACGUAGAAAUUGACGAAAUAAAAGAAUAUCAGUCUGCUAGAUGGAUAUCACGACCGGAAGCUACAUGGCUCUUGUUUGGUUUCUCUAUUAGUGAAAUGCCAUCAAGUGUAUGUUCCCUUCAAAUUCAUCUUGAGGGACAACAAUUUGUUCAUUUAAAAACAAUGCUAAUAUACGUGCGGUUGUAAAUAAUCCGAUGAUUAAGCUGACCAUGCUAACUGAAUUUUUUUACAUGAAUAGAACUAACACAGAUGCUAUAGAACUUAAUUUGUUGUAUAAAGAAUUUUCUGAAUAUUUUGUGUG